UGUCUGUCUCAACUGGUGGGUGUGUGCACUUGUCAUGCAUGUCUGUGAAAUUAUGAAUGGACAGAGAGCGUGGUGUGGUGUAAGAGAGGCGCUGAGAAAGGGAGGGAUGGAGAGAGGAAAGGCGUAUCACUAGAGACACAGAAUUAUCAUCAUCUGGCAGCACAUCCUCUCCGUCAAAGGUGGAGAAGAACACGGCUGCGAGCAAGUGAUAAAGAUAAAGUGUGUAUCUUCUCCUGCCAGCACACUCCUGCACAGUCCAGGGUCCUACUGCACCCUGCAACCACUUAUCCAUUAUGGAGCAGAAGACGACAUCACCUCAGAAGCACAUGAUGAAGAGCAGGUCCAAGUCUACAGAAGAAAUCCCACAAGCCAAGAAGGCCUUCCAUAUUCCUCAGAAGUCCCUUCCUGGUGGAUCAGAUUUAGAAAAAGUGAAGGAGGGUCAGGAAGAAUCUGAAACCCCGACAUCAGCCUCAGAAGAGUUGAAGUAAUAUACAGGAUACAAGAGCCUGGGAUAAUGCAAACGCACACACACACACGCGCACACACAAAAUGUACACAUCUACUGUAUAUUGCAGCAACAUUUUAAACACAAUUCUCCAUUUCUGUGCUAAUGCAAACUUUGUCGUCUUACCAUAUCGACUGAAUUUGUUGCAGUAUUGUACUUGUCAGCUAUUUAAUGCUUAUAUGUUUUUGACUCCAAAAUGAUUGGUGUCCUUCAUGGCUGUAAGUUCAGCAUGUUUAGAGUUAAACAAAGCUUUUUUUACCCUCAUUGUGUUCCUGAUUGUGCUGAAUGGUAUAUUUAACUGUUUGUAUAUUUUCUGUUUCUUACUUGUCUUGUGCAGCUCAACCGUUCCCUGUAAAUAGAAUUAUAAAUCGGUACAGUAUAAAGGCAAAUGUGUGCAAAAUGAAAAAAACAGGCAAUGGUCAAGGACAAGGUCAAUAAACUAAAGACAAGGCAUGUUAGAUGUGUCUCUUUGUAUGUGUGUUUGUGCAUGAAUGAUAGAAGGAUCGACUGACAUCUCUUCAAGAUUGUAUUCCCACUUUGCAUCCUGUCAAUAAUCCCAUGAUGGGCUCCAGGUCCAUCACCAUCCUGACCAUGCACAUUUUAAAUGCGAGUGCCAAUAAUUCUGGAGUUGACUGACAUUAAAUCCUUUGCCAUUAAAACCUGUGUGUAGGCAUGUUUACUGUAGUUAUUGUGUUAUGGAUUUGUUAAAAUAUUGAGAUUGCGUAUUGCAUGUACUGUAUGCGGUUGAGCAGAUGGUGUUUUUUUUUUUUAAAGAUGCUUUUUUGG